ACACGUGCUACAAUGGGGGGUACAAAGAGCAGCCAACUGGCAACAGUGCGCGAAUCUCAAAAAACCUCUCGUAGUCCGGAUCGGAGUCUGCAACUCGACUCCGUGAAGUCGGAAUCGCUAGUAAUCGUGGAUCAGAAUGCCGCGGUGAAUACGUUCCCGGGCCUUGUACACACCGCCCGUCACACCAUGGGAGUGGAUUGCAAAAGAAGUAGGUAGCCUAACCUUCGGGAGGGCGCUUACCACUUUGUGGUUCAUGACUGGGGUGAAGUCGUAACAAGGUAACC
rnacentral:rRNA from 1 species